AGCGGCGGACGGGUGAGUAAUGCCUGGGAAUAUGCCCUGAUGUGGGGGAUAACUAUUGGAAACGAUAGCUAAUACCGCAUAAUCUCUUCGGAACAAAGAGGGGGACCUUCGGGCCUCUCGCGACAGGAUUAGCCCAGGUGGGAUUAGCUUGUUGGUGAGGUAAUGGCUCACCAAGGCAACGAUCCCUAGCUGGUCUGAGAGGAUGAUCAGCCACACUGGAACUGAGACACGGUCCAGACUCCUACGGGGGGCGGCAGUGGGGAAUAUUGCACAAUGGGGGAAACCCUGAUGCAGCCAUGCCGCGUGUGUGAAGAAGGCCUUCGGGUUGUAAAGCACUUUCAGUAGGGAGGAAGGUAGUGUAGUUAACACCUGCACUAUUUGACGUUACCUACAGAAGAAGCACCGGCUAACUCCGUGCCAGCAGCCGCGGUAAUACGGAGGGUGCGAGCGUUAAUCGGAAUUACUGGGCGUAAAGCGCAUGCAGGCGGCCUGUUAAGUCAGAUGUGAAAGCCCGGGGCUUAACCUCGGAAUUGCAUUUGAAACUGGCAGG
rnacentral:rRNA from 1 species